CGGGGUGAGUAAUGUCUGGGAAACUGCCUGAUGGAGGGGGAUAACUGCUGGAAACGGUAGCUAAUACCGCAUAACGUCGCAAGACCAAAGAGGGGGACCUUCGGGCCUCUUGCCAUCGGAUGUGCCCAGAUGGGAUUAGCAGUAGGUGGGGUAACGGCUCACCUAGGCGACGAUCCCUAGCUGGUCUGAGAGGAUGCCAGCCACACUGGAACUGAGACACGGUCCAG
rnacentral:rRNA from 1 species